rnacentral:rRNA from 1 species
GACGAACGCUGGCGGCGUGCUUAACACAUGCAAGUCGAACGAAGUGGCGAACGGGUGAGUAUUACGUGGGUAACCUGCCCUCCUUUUUGGGAUAAGCCUUGGAAACGGGGACUAAUACCGAAUAAAGGGGGAUGGGCUCGCGGCUUAUCAGCUUGUUGGUGGGGUGAUGGCCUACCAAGGCGGUGACGGGUAGCCGGCCUGAGAGGGUGACCGGCCACAUUUGGAGUGGGAUACGGCCCAGACUGCGAGGGGAGGCAGCAGUGGGGGAUAUGGCACAAUGGACGAACGCCUGAUGCAGCGACGCCGCGUGGGGGUUGAAGGCUUUGGGGUUGUAAACCUCUUUGGCUGUCGAUCGGGUAGGUGGAGAAGAAGCGCCGGCUAACUACGUGCCAGCAGCCGCGGUAAUAC